AACAGAAAGCCUAAAAUUCAGCACAAAAGUGUUGAAAAGAGAAAAGGAGAGUUGAGAAAGUUUUCACGACUUAAUAUUCAAAAAUCACAUCUUAUAAUGUAUUAGAAAUAUAACCCUAAUCUAAUCCAUUUUAAAAGCACAGAAACAUAAACAUUAUACAAAUAAAUCUGAAUUAUGGGGAAAAACCAAAAUUAUCAAGAAAUAGAAGUACCAUGACUCAGUGAAAAGGCAUCCCCUUGUGCAGGGACAGAAAUAUUCAGUCUAGUGUAAUACAAAUAUACACUCUUCCAAAAUAAUUUAGAAAAUCAUCCCAUCUCUGGCCAAAACCUCCAUAUAGCAUUUGUGGGAGGAAGCAUUUUUAAAAGUAUUCCAACUGUACGAUAAAAAGGCAGUAUUUCAAAUCAAUGGUGAGUGUGGAAGGAGAGUCACAUCCACAGCUGUGCUCUUAAAACCAAAGUCCGACGGUAUGCUUCAGCUAUAAUAGCACUAGCGUGAAAGAAAAGGACAGAUUGGUGUGAAAGGUUUAUAGGGCUCUUGUUUCAUUCAUUACACAAAAUAACUUCCAAACACAAUAAAUAAAUUCCAAAACCAAUAAAGGUUCUAAAGGAAAACCCAAAAUUUCAUAAGGAGGAGGAGAGAUCCUGGACAAAUAUUUUUAUAACCAUGGGUGGAAGAUCUUUCUGCGCACGUCAUGACAGCCAGUGAUCCCACACAGAAGACUGAGAACCUCAACUAUGUACAAGUGGAAGCUUUCCAAUGGCAAAAACAAACAAAAGGCCCACAAAGAGACUCUAAAAGACAAAGGACAAACGUGGGAAAAUGCAUUCAAGGCCAAUGACAGACAGCCUCUUGUCUUGUGUAGUCAUUGAGAACAAGUCUUUCCUCCUCGGGAGGGAAAAGCAUUGGUUCUUCAGCUGAUAGAAUUUGUCUCUUGUCUUUAUUGACUUGUUCCCCCAGACUCUGAAGGUGAAAGGAGAAGGAUGACCAGUGGCAGCUCCUAUCUCCUGCUAGAAUUGUCCCAGCACCCAUCACACACACACACACACACACACACACACGGACCCUCGGGCAAUUUAUUGAGGAAUCACAUCUGCAUGUUCGUAGCGUGUAGCUUCCAGGACUACUAUUCAGCUCUUUCUCAGCUUUGCCUUCUUUCUGGAUCCAAAACAUUGCCCUCAUCUAUGAGGGGGCAUGUCCUGCUGGCCCCCAGAGUAGUCUCAGGGCUCAGAGGAGCACAGCAGC
rnacentral:lncRNA from 1 species